rnacentral:rRNA from 1 species
AUGCACGCUGGCGGCGUGCCUAAUCCAUGCAAGUCGAGCGAACGGACGAGAAGCUUGCUUCUCUGAUGUUAGCGGCGGACGGGUGAGUAACACGUGGAUAACCUACCUAUAAGACUGGGAUAACUUCGGGAAACCGGAGCUAAUACCGGAUAAUAUUUUGAACCGCAUGGUUCAAGAGUGAAAGACGGUCUUGCUGUCACUUAUAGAUGGAUCCGCGCUGCAUUAGCUAGUUGGUAAGGUAACGGCUUACCAAGGCAACGAUGCAUAGCCGACCUGAGAGGGUGAUCGGCCACACUGGAACUGAGACACGGUCCAGACUCCUACGGGAGGCAGCAGUAGGGAAUCUUCCGCAAUGGGCGAAAGCCUGACGGAGCAACGCCGCGUGAGUGAUGAAGGUCUUCGGAUCGUAAAACUCUGUUAUUAGGGAAGAACAUAUGUGUAAGUAACUGUGCACAUCUUGACGGUACCUAAUCAGAAAGCCACGGCUAACUACGUG